GAGAAUCCGAUCUCUAGAGAACUCAGACAGUCAUUUCAGAAAGUCAUUUUUAAGAGAAAGAAAGGAAAACAAAACAAAACAAAACAAAACAAAAACAACAAAAACAAAAACAAAAACCGUUGUUCUUUCUCUCUUACUCGGGGUAGCAAGAAGACCUGGCCUUGAAGGUGGUCCUUACUGUAAUCAUCCAGAAUUAACGGCGGUGGUAAGAGAGUGCGCCCUUGACCAACAGCUAUGUCUGUCUGAUCUCAUUGAGGAUUUGAGCUGAACUCUUGUCAGAGAAGGGAAUGGGGCAGACCUACUCCUGCAGAUGACGUUGGUGUUCUCCUACCUGCUAAGCAUGCAGUGUCAAGCCCAUCUGGAAACAAGGCUGUCCGCAUCACAGAAGUGCCUUGCCUUCCCCUGUGGGCAUUAACCCACCUUAAACUAUACAUUAGCUUUGACAGUGUUUGAACUUUCUAAGACAUAUAAUACAAAUUGUUCUAUCUGGCUCUA